rnacentral:rRNA from 1 species
UACAGAGGUCCCGAGCGUUGUUCGGAUUCACUGGGCGUAAAGGGUGCGUAGGUGGUGAGGUAAGUCGGAUGUGAAAUCUCCAGGCUCAACCUGGAAACGGCAUUGGAAACUACCUUGCUAGAGGUUUUGAGGGGGGACUGGAAUUCUCGGUGUAGCGGUGAAAUGCAUAGAUAUCGUCAAGAACACCGAUAGCGAAGGCAGCUUACUGGGCUGUAACUGACGCUGAUGCACGAAAGUGUGGGGAUCAAACAGG